GGAGACAAAACAGAAACUGUGAAGCAUGAAGUUUGACCAAGUAAAAGAGGUUUUAAAACUAAAACUGGCAAAACAAAUCUAUGCAGGAAAUUAAAGUGGUUCACUCAAAGAAAACUGAAGCCAACCGGACAGAUGAGCAGAGACAAAGGAAGACUACAACUGGGAAGGUGGUUGUUCCUUAACUAGGAAAACACAGGUAUUGAAGACAGAAUCCAGGGAUUAAUGCAUGCUGUGGAAUCACAUUAAUGAGACUCACAGGAGCCACUCACUCAUAGUUAUUUUCUUAAACAGUCAGAUAUAUACAUUGUCACAAAUGUAGUUUAUCUUCUGUUUUCAUAUGUCCCUUGGGCUAAACAAAUGUUUUCAAGUAAUUAAAAACAUCAUUUUAAUUCUAUGAUGUAUGAAGAUCUUGCA